UACGUAGGGUGCGAGCGUUGUCCGGAAUUAUUGGGCGUAAAGAGCUCGUAGGCGGUUUGUCGCGUCUGCUGUGAAAACUGGGGGCUCAACCCCCAGUCUGCAGUGGGUACGGGCAGACUAGAGUGCGGUAGGGGAGAUUGGAAUUCCUGGUGUAGCGGUGGAAUGCGCAGAUAUCAGGAGGAACACCGAUGGCGAAGGCAGAUCUCUGGGCCGUAACUGACGCUGAGGAGCGAAAGCAUGGGGAGCGAACAGG
rnacentral:rRNA from 1 species